rnacentral:rRNA from 1 species
GAUAACAUACCGAAAGGUAUGCUAAUACGGGAUAAUAUAUUUGAGAGGCAUCUCUUUAAUAUCAAAGGUGAGCCAGUACAGGAUGGACCCGCGUCUGAUUAGCUAGUUGGGAAGGUAACGGCUUACCAAGGCGACGAUCAGUAGCCGACCUGAGAGGGUGAUCGGCCACAUUGGAACUGAGACACGGUCCAAACUCCUACGGGAGGCAGCAGUGGGGAAUAUUGCACAAUGGGCGAAAGCCUGAUGCAGCAACGCCGCGUGAGUGAUGAAGGCCUUCGGGUCGUAAAACUCUGUCCUCAAGGAAGAUAAUGACGGUACUUGAGGAGGAAGCCCCGGCUAACUACGUGCCAGCAGCCGCGGUAAUACGUAGGGGGCUAGCG